rnacentral:rRNA from 1 species
UACAGAGGGGGCAAGCGUUAUUCGGAAUUACUGGGCGUAAAGGGCGCGUAGGCGGCCUUCUAAGUCGAACGUGAAAUCCCCGGGCUCAACCCGGGAACUGCGUCCGAUACUGGAAGGCUUGAAUCCGGGAGAGGGAUGUGGAAUUCCAGGUGUAGCGGUGAAAUGCGUAGAUAUCUGGAGGAACACCGGUGGCGAAGGCGACAUCCUGGACCGGUAUUGACGCUGAGGCGCGAAAGCCAGGGGAGCAAACGGG